rnacentral:rRNA from 1 species
AUGCACGCUAGCGGGAGGCCUAACACAUGCAAGCCGGGCGGUAGAGUUCCUUCGGGAACUUGAGAGCGGCGUACGGGUGCGUAACACGUGUGCAACCUACCUUUAUCUGGGGGAUAGCCUUUCGAAAGGAAGAUUAAUACCCCAUAAUAUAAUGAUUGGCAUCAAUUAUUAUUGAAAACUCCGGUGGAUAGAGAUGGGCACGCGCAAGAUUAGAUAGUUGGUGAGGUAACGGCUCACCAAGUCAAUGAUCUUUAGGGGUCCUGAGAGGGAGAUCCCCCACACUGGUACUGAGACACGGACCAGACUCCUACGGGAGGCAGCAGUGAGGAAUAUUGGACAAUGGGUGAAAGCCUGAUCCAGCCAUCCCGCGUGAAGGAUGACGGUCCUAUGGAUUGUAAACUUCUUUUGUACAGGGAUAAACCUACUCUCGUGAGGGUAGCUGAAGGUACUGUACGAAUAAGCACCGGCUAACUCCGUG